UUAACUCUUAUUUGUAUGGAGUUGGAACGUUUGCCUACGUUUGCCGCUAGGGGCGUUGUUCCAACUAUAUACAAAUUUGUGUUA
rfam:Bombyx mori DNA, contig: Bm_scaf141_contig39742, strain: p50T/Dazao, build 2, whole genome shotgun sequence.